AUUUCUUUGGGACAAAUGGCUGAUAAACAUGAGGUCAUCAUUUGGAGAAGAAAACAUGUUGCGAUUCUGUGGAAAGAAAAACAUAAUUAAUCCUUUGAUCCACUGAUGUGCUUAAGCCAUUUUUUCCUUAUAAUCUGUAAAAAGUCCUAUAUGUCCUGUAUGAAUAACACAAAAUUGGCCUGUGUAAUACAUUUUUUCCCCCACAAUGCCAUGUAAUUUUACUGUACUGUGUCAUUUAAGUGAACACACAUCAAGCAAUGACAGGUUCUAGUAGUGAAAAAAACUAGAUUUGUACAUUUUGAUGGUUCACAAAGGUAGUUGAUCUUGUUGACCAAUGAAGCAGAAAUAUGGUUUUAACUGAUCAGUGAUCUUUAUAAUUUAGGCUCAGUUUUAAUGAGUCAUAUUUGGAAAAAUAGAGUGAUGUUAUAUAGGCCUUGUCUCAAAUUGGCCUGAUAGCAAGCCCUCUCAAAAAACACAAACACUAAAA